rnacentral:lncRNA from 1 species
GUGCCAGAAUCCCCACCAUUGAAAUUACUGACUCUUCUCAUGGACACUGGAACACUCCUCUCAUUAAUGAACGAUUAGGUGCUGAAUGGAGUACAGAACUCAACUCUUGGAGUUUCUCCAUCCUUGCAUGACAUGACAGGUAUGUCUGGAAACACAACGUUUCUACACAAAAAUGGCGGACUGAAAUGAGGCCGCCUUUUAAUAUCAAUUGGAAAGCCCUAUGGAAGAUCAAAAUCCCUCCAAAGUUACUGCUCUUUCUCUAGAAACUGUAGCUCAACAUUUUACCUCUUCGAAUGGAAUGACGGAAGUGCCAUAUCCCCGUUAACCUCCUUUGCAUCAUCUGCUUUGAACAACCGGAAGAUGUAGACCAUCUAUUCAGAACAUGUUCGUUGACUAGAACCAUUUGGUUUGGUACCCCAUAGUCCAUUCGAAUAAAUGCUAUGGAGAUAUCAGACAUUCGAGAAUGGAUUGCUGUAUGGAUCAACCAUUACGACGGAAAGGACUUGGGAUACAAAGUAGUGAUUCAUAGUUGGAUCAUAACCCUCUGACACAUAUGAAAGCAUCGAA